CCUGACCCAUUAAUCCGGCCCGGACAGUGGCCCGAUCAUCCCAUUAGCUGAUGGCCCAUAGAAGGCUCAGUUCCGCCGAGAUCGCUAGAAAAUAAAGCAUGAUUUCGGAGGGGGUAUGAUGGAUUCUGCGAGAUUAAUGGUUAUACGCACCAUUAUCUCGAGGGAGGGUAUUGGAGAGAAGAUCCCACAUCGAAUAUAUGAAAGGGACUUGAGUAAUAUAUAAGGGACUUGGGCCAAUCCACUAAUUGCCAAUUGGUUUUGAGUUGGAAGCCC
rnacentral:lncRNA from 1 species